CCUGCGCAAGCAGAGAGGAAGUGGGGAUGACGUCAAAUCAUCAUGCCCCUUAUGACCUGGGCUACAAACGUGAUACAAUGGCUGAAACAAAGGGCAGCGAAGGAGCGAUCUGGAGCGAAACCCAAAAAAGCAGUCUCAGUUCGGAUUGAAGUCUGCAACUCGACUUCAUGAAGUCGGAAUCGCUAGUAAUCGCGGAUCAGAACGCCGCGGUGAAUACGUUCUCGGGGUUU
rnacentral:rRNA from 1 species